GACGAACGCUGGCGGCGUGCCUAAUACAUGCAAGUCGAGCGCAGGAAACUGACGGAACUCUUCGGAGGGAAGGCAGUGGAAUGAGCGGCGGACGGGUGAGUAACACGUAAGGAACCUGCCUCAAGGAUUGGGAUAACUCCGAGAAAUCGGGGCUAAUACCGGAUAGUUCAACGGACCGCAUGGUCCGCUGAUGAAAGGCGCUCCGGCGUCACCUUGAGAUGGCCUUGCGGUGCAUUAGCUAGUUGGUGGGGUAACGGCCCACCAAGGCGACGAUGCAUAGCCGACCUGCGAGGGUGAUCGGCCACACUGGGACUGAGACACGGCCCAGACUCCUACGGGAGGCAGCAGUAGGGAAUCUUCCACAAUGGACGAAAGUCUGAUGGAGCAACGCCGCGUGAGUGAUGAAGGUUUUCGGAUCGUAAAACUCUGUUGUAAGGGAAGAACACGUACGAGAGGAAAUGCUCGUACCUUGACGGUACCUUACGAGAAAGCCACGGCUAACUACGUGCCAGCCGCCGCCGUAA
rnacentral:rRNA from 1 species